GAUGAACGCUGGCGGCGUGCCUAAUACAUGCAAGUCGAGCGAACGGACGAGAAGCUUGCUCCUCUGAUGUUAGCGGCGGACGGGUGAGUAACACGUGGAUAACCUACCUAUAAGACUGGGAUAACUUCGGGAAACCGUAGCUAAUACCGGAUAAUAUUUUGAACCGCAUGGUUCAAAAGUUAAAGACGGUUUUGCUGUCACUUAUAGAUGGAUCCGCGCUGCAUUAGCUAGUUGGUAAGGUAACGGCUUACCAAGGCAACGAUGCAUAGCCGACCUGAGAGGGUGAUCGGCCACACUGGAACUGAGACACGGUCCAGACUCCUACGGGAGGCAGCAGUAGGGAAUCUUCCGCAAUGGGCGAAAGCCUGACGGAGCAACGCCGCGUGAGUGAUGAAGGUCUUCGGAUCGUAAAACUCUGUUAUUAGGGAAGAACAUAUGUGUAAGUAACUGUGCACGUCUUGACGGUACCUAAUCAGAAAGCCACGGCUAACUACGUG
rnacentral:rRNA from 1 species